GAUGAACGCUGGCGGCGUGCCUAAUACAUGCAAGUCGAGCGAACAGACGAGGAGCUUGCUCCUCUGACGUUAGCGGCGGACGGGUGAGUAACACGUGGAUAACCUACCUAUAAGACUGGGACAACUUCGGGAAACCGGAGCUAAUACCGGAUAAUAUAUUGAACCGCAUGGUUCAAUAGUGAAAGACGGUUUUGCUGUCACUUAUAGAUGGAUCCGCGCCGCAUUAGCUAGUUGGUAAGGUAACGGCUUACCAAGGCAACGAUGCGUAGCCGACCUGAGAGGGUGUCGGGCACCCUUGAACUUGAGCACCGGCCCAGCCCCCUAGGGAAGGCACAGGUGGGAAAUCUCCGGAAAGGGGCGAAAGCCUGCCGAAGCAACGCGGGGUGGGUGAUGAAGGUCUCCGGAUGGUAAACCCCUGUUAUUGGGGAAAAACAAAUGUGUAGGUAACUAUGCCCGUCUGACGGGAACCUAAUAAGAAGCCACGGCUAACUACGUG
rnacentral:rRNA from 1 species